rnacentral:rRNA from 1 species
ACGAUGAAGUUCCUUCGGGAAUGGAUUAGUGGCGAACGGGUGAGGAACACGUGAGAAACCUGCCUUUCAUUCUGGGAUAACACCGGGAAACCGGCGCUAAUACCGGAUACUCCAUCUUGGCGGCAUCGCCGAGCUGGGAAAAAAUUUUGAUGAAAGAUGGUCUCGCGGCCUAUCAGCUAGUUGGUGAGGUAAAGGCUCACCAAGGCGACGACGGGUAGCCGGCCUGAGAGGGCGACCGGCCACACUGGGACUGAGACACGGCCCAGACUCCUACGGGAGGCAGCAGUAGGGAAUAUUGGGCAAUGGGCGAAAGCCUGACCCAGCGACGCCGCGUGAGGGAUGAAGGUCUUCGGAUUGUAAACCUCUUUCAGUAGGGAAGAAGCGAAAGUGACGGUACCUAAAGAAGAAGCACCGGCUAACUAUGUGCCAGCAGCCGCGGUAAUACAUAGGGUGCAAGCGUUGUCCGGAAUUACUGGGCGUAAAGAGCUCGUAGGUCGUUUGUCGCGUCGAUUGUGAAAAUCUGAGGCUCAACCUCAGACCUGCAGUCGAUACGGGCAAACUAGAGUGUGGUAGGGGAGACUGGAAUUCCUGGUGUAGCGGUGGAAUGCGCAGAUAUCAGGAGGAACACCAAUGGCGAAGGCAGGUCUCUGGGCCAUAACUGACACUGAGGAGCGAAAGUGCGGGGAGCGAACAGGAUUAGAUACCCUGGUAGUCCGCACCGUAAACGGUGGGCACUAGUUGUGGGAACCUUCCACGGUUUCCGCGACGCAGCAAACGCAUUAAGUGCCCCGCCUGGGGAGUACGAUCGNCAGAAUAAAACUCAAAGGA